rnacentral:rRNA from 1 species
GAUGAACGCUGGCGGCGUGCCUAAUACAUGCAAGUCGAGCGAACGGACGAGAAGCUUGCUUCUCUGAUGUUAGCGGCGGACGGGUGAGUAACACGUGGAUAACCUACCUAUAAGACUGGGAUAACUUCGGGAAACCGUAGCUAAAACCGGAUAAUAUUUUGAACCGCAUGGUUCAAAAGUGAAAGACGGUCUUGCUGUCACUUAUAGAUGGAUCCGCGCUGCAUUAGCUAGUUGGUAAGGUAACGGCUUACCAAGGCAACGAUGGAUAGCCGACGUGAGAGGGUGAUCGGCCACACGGGAACUGGGACACGGUCCAGACUCCUACGGGACGCAGCAGUAGGGAAUCUUCCGCAGUGGGCGAAAGUCUGACGGAGCAAGCCCGCGUGAGUGAUGAAGGUCUUCGGAUCGUAAAACUCGGUUAUUAGGGAAGAACAUAUGUGUAAGUAACUGUGCACAUCUUGACGGUACCUAAUCAGAAAGCCACGGCUAACUACGUG